UUCAGGUGAUAACGAAUUGAUAAACAUUUUUUUCGUUUGUUCGUUGAUAGUUUGAGAGGAUAUGGGGCGUCAUUCAAUACUGUCUAUUAUUUGUUACUGCAUCAUUAUAGGUGGAUUGUCAUUUACCUUUACAAAAGG